GGGUCCACAGCACUGAUAAGA
rnacentral:misc_RNA from 1 species